AUGCCUUCCUGGCCCAACAACAACGAGUUAUCCGACGAUGACGAGUACAUGGACGAGUACAACAACAUGCAGAUGGAGUAUUUUCAAACUCCUGACACGGUGAUAGAUCCAAGUUUCUGUGGGCUUGUGGUUGAAUCUGAUCGUAAGUGCAUCCUGCACAGGCAGAGCCUAGGUAGGUUUGUGGCAUUUGGAGGGACUCACACUAGAAGGAGAUUCAUUCGAUGUGCUACUAUGUGGGUAGAUGCCCCUUGGCCAGUAAUUCUGCAAAGGUGUUUAACCAAGCUGUGGGAUAUGUAUCAUGAGGAGAACCUUAGUAGAGUCCAGGACAAAGAGGCUUAUGGGAUAGAGGUUGCAAAACUGAAGGAGUUGGAUUCUCUUGGAAAUCAGUACAGUCAGCUUGUGGAUAAUGUAUCCAAGUUGUUUGAUUACUAGGAUGGGAAGAAAUCCCAUGACAUGGAUUACAUAAGCCAGGCAAUCAAUGAACUUAAGGAGAAGAAGCAACAUCUUGAGGAGCAUGCAAAUAUUGAGGUUCAAAUGGAGAAGCUUAAGCUCAAGAAAGAACAGAGGUGCAUCCUGUAGAGUCAAGCUGAUACCAUUCAAAGCACUAGGAAGGCCAUGAAGGAGAUACAAGUGGAGAGAGACCUCCUUAAAGAAGAGAAAAAGAAGCUGGAGCAAGUCAUUUCUGAGCUCCUGAAGGUUGGUCAUGGGUGCAAGGAAAAGCUGGACAAGAUCAAAGAAGUUGUCAUGAAAGAGUGA
rnacentral:rRNA from 1 species